CAUAAUUGAAAAUUAUCCUUUGUGGUGGGAUUUCAGAUUUCUUACAUUUUGAUAUACCAUUUGAACAUUUCAGUAUCCUAUCCCCUCCUAUGUUAUAAAUGGUCAUGUUCUCUACCUCUCCUCUCCCAUCUUGGACAGGUGGCCCGCCCCCUGGAGGAUGCAUGGUCUAGCAGCUCCAGUCCCUGCCAGCCACGCGGGGCACAGGGGGUGGGUGUCCACCUGCCAGCUGCAGCGCUCUCCUUCCAGGCAGUGGCAUGGACAGGAAGAACCAGCAGGACAUCAACAUACACCUAGUGACCCAUCCAGAAGGUCUUCAGGGUGCCACAGACCUGCAGGACCUGAAUCUCACUCCAGCAGCCCUGGAACAUUCACGACCUCCAGUACAAGAGAUUUCCUCUCUGAACAAUCCUGCCUGCUCAGCCAUUCAUAUAAACAGAGAAAGACAAAAGCAUCUUCAUUUAAAACCAAAAUAAAAUACCAAAUCACCUCUGAAACAAAACAAAUCACCUCUGAAAAUAGCUGAGGCAGUGCCAUGGUGGAGAGAAACCCACGUGCUUUUCCUCAAUAAAUGCAAUAUGGUCAGCUGAUUCUUCAGGUGCGCACGGGUGUGUCCCCUGGAAAAUGCACACUUUUGGGGACAGGAAGCUGGCUCGAUGUGGCAAGAGGCUCGGGCUCAGACAGGAGUGGAGACACAGAGUCUCAUGCAUGCUCCAGGGCUGCAAUCAGUGAGUGCUGAGUGGCAGAGGGCGCUGCUUGGUUGGGACCCUCUGUGUACAGUUGGAUUCUUGGAAUUCCCUGUGUUUCUGCUAAACUCCUUUCUUUGUGGUGAGAGUCCCAAGCUUAGCCUGUCUCAGAGCCCACAGAGGAGAGAAGUCCUAUGAAGGGGGUGCAUGGGGUGCAGGAUUUCAUGUCCUCCUGUCUCUCUUGUUUCUCAGGGUGUGGACAGCCCCAGGAGGCGUGCUCAGUCCCUGCCCUGCACCAGUGCUGUGACUACAUCUGUUGGGUUCACAAAAUGGGGUUUUUUCGGCAUCACCUGAACUCGCCCGGGUGAGAGGAAUUUUUUUUGUUUUGUUUUGUUUUUUUUUUUUUUUGAGACGGAGUCUCGCUCUGUCACUCUGUCGCCCAAGCUGGAGUGCAGUGGCCGGAUCUCAGCUCACCACAAGCUCCGCCUCCUGGGUUCACGCCAUUCUCCUGCCUCAGCCUCCCGAGUAGCUGGGACUACAGGUGCCCGCCACCGCGCCUGGCUGAUUUUUUUGUAUUUUUAGUAGAGACGGGGUUUCACCGUGUUAGCCAGGAUGGUCUCGAUCUCCUGACCUCGUGAUCUGCCCGCUUCCGCCUCCCAAAGUGCUGGGAUUACAGGCGUGAGCCCGCACCGGGCCCAGGUGAGAUUAAUUUUUAAAGGGCUUUAAAUUCGCAAUCUGCUUACUAAACCCAGUGUGAUUAGGAUUCUAACCCGGUUCUCUCUUCAAGUAUCUGCUUGGCGGGCUCCCUUGCUUCCUGAAGAUCUUUGUUUAAACAUCAUCAUCACUGUAGCACCACGACCUUCCUGACUUUUCUGUUCAGAUUUCAGUCACCCUCCCCCAUAUCCUCUGCUUUCCCAGCUCCCUCCCCAGCUUCAUAUUUCUCCAUAGAGUGUGUCACCAUAUGGGGAAGAAAAAAAUAAAUAAAUAACUCUGUUUUUUACUUACUUAUGUGUCUACUGUCUGUCUCUCCCCUCUAGAGAGAAAGCUCAAUGAGAACAGAGAUUUUGUCUGUUUUGUUCACUCUUUUGAUCGGGUCUGUCCCUAGAGUUUCCAGUAAACCACAAUCUCCCCUUAACAAGGGUCUAGCCUGUUCAGCUAGGGGUGGUUAGCUCAUCAGCCUUGAUCCUGGCUAAACCUCAAACUUCCUCUUCUACAAAAGCCCUGGGAAAAUUUUCACUAGUCUCUAAAUCACUUGGAGUCAAACUUUCCCUUGGCAAUGAGUUUACUUUUACCUUACAGAUACUGAGUCUAGGGACUGAUCAUGUUAUCCUGUUUCUCCACUCCCACUGGCUGCUAGGAAGCUCAGAGCCGGGAUGUUGCUGAUCUCUAGCAGGGGCUUAGCAUUUAGAGGCAUGUAUUUUGUAUGAUAAUAUGACUUCUGGCUUCAGCUCAACUUCCU
rnacentral:lncRNA from 1 species